rnacentral:rRNA from 1 species
AAUUUGGGGCCACCCAGCCAAAAAUUCAGUUUUUGGUUAAAAACCCUAAGGUGGCCUUAAAAAAUAAAGUUUUCUCCCCCUUAAAAUUUCUUUUCCAAAACCAAACCCCAAGGGUAUUUGCUUAAAAUAACCAAACCCCGGGGUUUGAGGAGAAAUGACGCUUCAAAACAGGCAUGCCCCUUGAAAUACCCAAAGGCGCUAUUGCUUUCAAAGGUUCGUGAUUCCAGGAAAAUUUGCAAUUCCUUAUUACGUAUCGCAUUUCGUUGCUUUUUUUAUCGAUGCGGAACCCCAAAGUUCCGUUGUUGAAAGUUUUGACUAUGGUAAUAAUAAAUUCAAGUUUGACUGUAAAUAAAAAGUUUGGUUAAGUAAUAACUUUGGGCGGGGGGGGGCCCCGGCCCCCCAAGGGGAAGUGGUUCCAAAAAAAAAACCCCUGGGGGCAAUUUAGCGGAGUCCCGAGAGAACCCCCUUUUUCCCGGGGGGGGGGGCUCGGAAGGAUCAUUACUGAUUUGCUUAAUUGCACCACAUGUGUUUUUUAUUGAACAAAUUUCUUUGGUGGCGGGAGCAAUCCUACCGCCAGAGGUUAUAACUAAACCAAACUUUUUAUUUACAGUCAAACUUGAUUUAUUAUUACAAUAGUCAAAACUUUCAACAACGGAUCUCUUGGUUCUCGCAUCGAUGAAGAACGCAGCGAAAUGCGAUACGUAAUAUGAAUUGCAGAUAUUCGUGAAUCAUCGAAUCUUUGAACGCACAUUGCGCCCUUUGGUAUUCCAAAGGGCAUGCCUGUUUGAGCGUCAUUUCUCCCUCAAACCCCCGGGUUUGGUGUUGAGCAAUACGCUAGGUUUGUUUGAAAGAAUUUAACGUGGAAACUUAUUUUAAGCGACUUAGGUUUAUCCAAAAACGCUUAUUUUGCUAGUGGCCACCACAAUUUAUUUCAUAACUUUGACCUCAAAUCAGGUAGGACUACCCGCUGAACUUAAGCAUAUCAAUAAGCCGGAGGAAAAAGGAUCAUUACUGAUUUGCUUAAUUGCACACAUGUGGUCUUUUAUUGAACAAAUUUCUUUGGUGGCGGGAGCAAUCUACCGCCAGAGGUUAUAACUAAACCAAACUUUUUAUUUACAGUCAAACUUGAUUUAUUAUUACCAUAGUCAAAACUUUCAACAACGGAGCUCUUGGUUCUCGCAUCGAUGACAGACGCAGCGCAAUGCGAUACGUAAUAUGAAAUUGCAGAUAUUCGUGAAAUCAUCGAAUCUUUUGAACGCACAUUGCGCCCUUUGGGUAUUCCAAAGGGGCAUGCCUGUUUUGGAGCGUCAUUUUCUCCCUCAAACCCGGGGGUUUGGGUGGUUUGAAGCAAAUACCCCUAAGGUUUUUGUUUUUGAAAAAGAAAAUUUUAACCGUGGGCAAAACUUUAUUUUUUUAAGGCCCACUUUAGGGGUUUUAAUCCAAAAAACCUUUAUUUUUUUGCCUUGGGGGGGCCCCCAAAUUUUUUAAUUUUCCAAAACCUUUUUGGACCUCCAAAAUCCGGGGGGAAGGGAACUAACCCCCUGGGAAAAUUUGAAGGCGGAAUUCAAUUAAUUCAGGGGUGAGGGGAAAAAAA